rnacentral:rRNA from 1 species
AGGAUGAACGCUGGCGGCGUGCUUAACACAUGCAAGUCAUGGGGGCCCCGCAAUGGGCAACCGGCGAACGGGUGCGUAACACGUGAGCAACCUACCCAGGUGUGGGGGAUAGCCGUCCCAACGGACGGGUAAUACCGCAUACGCUCAACACGAGGCAUUUCGAGUUGAGGAAACCUUCGGGGCACCAUGAGGGGCUCGCGGCCUAUCAGCUAGUUGGCGAGGUAACGGCUCACCAAGGCUACGACGGGUAGCUGGUCUGAGAGGAUGACCAGCCACAUUGGGACUGAGAAACGGCCCAGACUCCUACGGGAGCAGCAGUGGGGAAUCUUGCGCAAUGGCCUAACGGCUGACGCAGGGGCACGCCGCGUGAGGGAUGACGCUCGUUCGGAGUGUAAACCUGUUUUACGCCUUAGGAACGACUAUCAGCUUCAGCUGAUUUGACGUACGGUGAAUACGCACCGGCUAACGUCCGUGCCAGCACGCCGAGGUAACUCGUAGACGCGGC